rnacentral:lncRNA from 1 species
ACAUGGUUCUUCUAAUACCAGGACCCCAAUGUGCCUCCUCCAUGAGUCGGAUUAAUGGUUCACACAUGACCAAACCCAACACAACUCCAUCAGAUAAGCAUCAAUAUGCUCUCAGGUACAAAAAUGACCUCUUCCAAGUAUGCUCCAAAAACUAAUUAAAAUUCAUGAUAAUUCAUGAUAAUUCCCAACUAAGAAAAUGCCAUAAUCAGAAUUUUCAGAACCGGCCUCGAUCCUAUAGAUCUCGGCCAAAAUCAGCCAAACCGGCCAAAACUGGACAUCAUCAAAUCAAUUCCUAAAAAU